AUACGGAGGGUGCAAGCGUUGUUCGGAAUCACUGGGCGUAAAGGGCGCGCAGGCGGUUUGGUAAGUCAGAUGUGAAAGCCCAUGGCUCAACCAUGGAAGUGCAUUUGAAACUGUCAGACUUGAGUACUAGAGGGGAAAGUGGAGUUCCCGGUGUAGAGGUGAAAUUCGUAGAUAUCGGGAGGAAUACCGGUGGCGAAGGCGACUUUCUGGAUAGAUACUGACGCUGAGGCGCGAAAGCGUGGGGAGCAAACAGGAUUAGAUACCCUAGUAGUCC
rnacentral:rRNA from 1 species